CUGAAGGUGUUCUUUAAUUUAACCGAACUUUCAUUUAUCAUUAUUUAAAACAAACUUGUUGUUCUGCUCAAACAACCACAGGUGUGGUGCUGUACGUGCGUCUGACUCUGGUCGUCCUGUUCAUCGUAUUAUCCACAGCUGUGGUGAUAUUCUACAGGAAGAGGGCCAGAGAACUCAAAGAAGCUCCUGUGGAACCUGAGUACAUUAACGUCACAGAGACCAACAGAGUGUAUGAGGAGAUCAGAGAGGAGGACAGACAGAGCAUAUCUCCUCCUGUAGAAAUGUCCACAAUUCACUCUUUCCACUGCAGCCAGUUCUCAGAACAAGGAGGAAGUCCUGAAGAGACAAAUACAGACAUUCAGUUCGUCAUUAACCAACAGACUUGGAGAUAAAACCCUGUGAACAGCUGACAUGAAAUGAUGCUCAAGUAAACUUAAAAACCAGCGUAAGUGAUGAACUUUUCAGUUUUCUUGCAGACUGAAGACGACUCCAGUAAACUCACCUACUCUGAGGUGGAUUUUUCUGAAGGUGCCUCGCUCCACAGCGCCCCCUGUGGUGACGCAUAUGAAUUUACUCUUUAGUUUCGAGGAUGCCCCUUUAUACCCAAUGAUGACAUUUUCAUGUUACUAACUAACCUGUUUGAAUAUAGAAUGUUUCAAAGAGAUGUUUUUUGAGCAUUGCACAACUUUCCCAGUCUUUUGUUGCCCCUGUCCUAACUUUUUUUUUUUUGGAAUGUGUUGCAGCCAUCAAAAUCAGAUAUUUAAAAAAAAAAAAAGUUUAUCAGUUUGAAUAUUAUUUUGUCUCUGUACUGUUUUCAAUUGAAUAUAGGUCAAAAAAAGAUAUGCACGUCAUUGCAUUCUGUUUUUAGUUAUGUUUGACACGGUGUCUCAACUUUUUUGGAAUCAGGGUCGUAAAACAGUAUGCGAAAAAAACACUUACAAAAUGUCAAACAUGCCCUAAAAAAUCAUAUGACAGUAUGUAAUGAAAAAUAGUAUUUAAAAUAUAUGCCAUGUGUUAUAGCAUGAAAAAUGUGAUGGUAAAGUAAGGCAAGUAAAAAAAAAUCAUAAGUGUCAUAGUGUAAUCUGUCAUAAAAAUUCAUCAAAAAAAUAAAAAAUAAAAAUUAAAAACAGAGUAUAAUAAUACAAGGUAUAUAAUAAUCAUUCUAUAAUAAUAAUAAUGAUAGUAAUGAUAAUAAUAAUAAUAAUAAUAAUAAUAACUUAGAUUAAUAAAGCGUGUUUCAAGGUACUCAAGGCUGCUUUACAAAGUACGGAAACAAAAAUAAAUAAAUGAAUAAUGAAAAUUAUACACAAAGCCACAGCAUGUUUAACAUGUCAUAAAAAACAGUAAUAGUAUGACACAAAAAUCAAAGCUCAACAUUCUGUGUCGCUUUCUGUAUCAGUGUGGACUCGAUGCAGCCUCAAAUACUUUACAGAAAAUACCAUCCCAUUGGCAGCCAGUCCAAAAAAUGUACUAUUGUAUGUGGUAAAAAUGUCAUUGUAUCAUAUGGUAUAACAAUUAAUAGAGUAUAGACAAUGGUCAUAGUUAAAAUUAUGGCAUAACAUUUCAUGAAAAAUGUCAUCGUAACAUAUGCCACAGAAAAAUGUCAUAGUGGCGUAUGUUAAAAAAAAUCAUUAUAUUACAUAGCAUAACAAUAAGAAAGUAUAACAUGCCAUGCAAAAUGUCAUAGUGUAGAAUGUAAUGAAAUUGUCUUAGUGUAGUAUGUUAUAAAAAUGUUAUCGUACAGUGUGUAACAAAAAAUGUCAUACUAUAAUAUAGUAAAGCUAUUCAUAAAAAUGCCAUAGUAUAAUUUGCCUUGUCACAGCCCGGCUCAAAAACUAUGACAAGGACAGGAGACAAACAAGCUGGCUGACAAUAAUGGUCAUACAUUUACAAAACAUAAGUUUAACAACAUGUGUGCAGUCAGUAAUCAGUAAUGAAGUGCAUGUGUGGGUGCCUGGCAGCGUGUGUGGAAAAUAAAGAAGGAAACCCAGAGCUGUCGACAGGCCGAGAGACGGCGAGACUGACCAAGGAGGGAGGAAUUAAUGCUGGAGAACACACUGGGCCCAGGUGUGGAUCAAUCAGCCAUAGAUCCUCCUCUCAGCUCCUGCAACACAACAAAGGAGAACCACAAAGAGUAUGGGACGAGGGUCGUCACAGCCUUCAACAAUGUCUUUGUGCAGUAUGUAAUAAAAAAAAAACUGUCAUAGUAUAGUGUGUCAUAUAAAUGUCAGUGUAGUAUGUAAUACAAAAAAAGUCAUAGUUUAGUACGUCACAAAGAUGUAAUUGUAUAGUAUGUGGAAAAUCCUCAAGCACCCCUCUACGUGUCUCGAUGUUCCUGCAUGGAAAAAUCCCCGCCUGCUCCUACCUGCCUCCCUCGUCCUCAGUAGGCAGAGCCCAAAGUCUAUAUGUGGCAUCAGCUUACAGGUGGCGAUCCUUUUUCUCUGAAGAACAAAGGAGCAUGUGGACCAGCCUCAUCCUAACUUUGAAUUGUUUGAACUGAGUAUAUGACGUGAGUUUUCUUUGAUUUAAAUGCAUUUAUAGUUACCUUAGAAGCAUCCUUUAUUUGUUAUGUCAUUAAGUUUCAGUUUUUUCCUGAUUUUGAAGGUUUAUAGCUGUUCUGUUUGAAGUUGAAUUUCCUUUGUUGGAUUAUUAAUUAUUCCAAAUCAGGAAUCAUGAUGUCUAGUGAAAAACUCUCUAUUAUUCUCUUCUGUUCUUAGACAAACCAGCUCAAACUGUCUUAGAAUAAAGUGUU